GACGAACGCUGGCGGCGUGCUUAACACAUGCAAGUCGAACGGUGAACUCCGCUUGCGGGGGGAUCAGUGGCGAACGGGUGAGUAACACGUGGGCAACCUGCCCUCAGCUCUGGGAUAACUCCAAGAAAUUGGGGCUAAUACCGGAUAUUUCCGCUGACCGCAUGGUCUGGUGGUGGAAAGAUUUAUCGGCUGGGGAUGGGCCCGCGGCCUAUCAGCUUGUUGGUGGGGUAGUGGCCUACCAAGGCGACGACGGGUAGCCGGCCUGAGAGGGUGACCGGCCACACUGGGACUGAGACACGGCCCAGACUCCUACGGGAGGCAGCAGUGGGGAAUAUUGCGCAAUGGGCGAAAGCCUGACGCAGCGACGCCGCGUGGGGGAUGACGGCCUUCGGGUUGUAAACCUCUUUCAGCAGGGACGAAGCGCAAGUGACGGUACCUGCAGAAGAAGCACCGGCCAACUACGUGCCAGCCGCCGCCGUAAAAC
rnacentral:rRNA from 1 species